GGAAAGGCGGGGAGAAGAGGCGGUUGCUUUCGUAUGUGUGGGAAAGUUUUUGGCGACGAGGACGACGUGUAAAGCGUGAAAAAGGCAUUCCUGGAAAGUGCAAUUACAUCUUUUUUCUGAAACAGGACGACCCCAGCUGAGAUAGUGACUAGAGCAAAAAGCGCCGACAUUUGAGAUGGCGGGCGACGACCAGCUGAGCCACAAAGAGACGAGUGACGUCCGUCUUUUGGAAGGCUGAUUUGACCAACAUUUACCAAUUACAGGACUGCAGGAAUAAGGAAGAAAAGCUCUGACUCUUGGGGAGAAGUCGUUUGACGUCAGGAGAUCCGGGCUCUGCUGUUUGUUGGAACAUCUGCAUGUGGGGUUCUUUUUUUUUCCUGUGCUUGCCUAAGUCUUCUCCACCCCAUCCCAAAAAGCAUCCAUGUAAUUGAAGACUAAAUUGUCCAAUUAUAUGAAUGUGAGUGCUUGUUCGUCUUUGUGUCCUGUGAUCAGGGGCGCGGUGAGGGGAUGGUGUUGGACAGGGGUCGGCAACCCGCGGCUCUAGAUCCGCAUGCGGCUCUUUAGCGCCA